UUUCGCUCUUUUCCCUCUCUUCCCCGAAGCUCUCUCUCACUAUUGUGUUGCCUCUGCCAGGCCCGAACGGUCGUCGGCCCAUCGUCGGAGGCGUACACGCGCCAGCCCAAUCAAACCGCUGGCCCUCGAAACGUCGAUCCCCUCGAGCUCACCACAAUACGCGCCGCCCAGGGACUGUCAACCAACGGCCGGAGCCGUCUGCUUCUUGCACUUUCCGGCGAGAUUGCGACUCCCCCGAUACCUCUUGUUCGACAAAGGGCACGAGAUUCUUUGGCUUUGGAUUUUUCAGGGGUGAUUGGAUAAUGCAUUGGAUGAGGUUCGCAGUGGUGCUACAUAUGAAAAUAUCGAUAUGCUUACUAAUAAGAAGGAUGGGAGCAGAUGUUGCUAAUCGAAGAUAAGGUGCGAUAUUGUAUAUCAUUGGGGUAUUCUGAGAAAAGCAAAUUAGCCUUCACCAUUGGACAAUGUAUAAAUUGGUCUUUGACAAACAAUUUUGUGUUUCUUUUUUCUUUCAUCCAAUUUGAAGAUGGAUUUUGCAUUGGCUUCGUUGCAGAUGGAAAUGAUUUUAAAACUAGUACAAUGAGGCUUGGUGCAGAUGUCAUUGUGUUUUCUUGUUGCCAUGGAAACUCUGGAAAAAGAUUUUUUGUUUUUCUUCAUUUAUGGUUAUUCUUGAACUCCAAUUUUUACUUUUUUUUUAUUUAGUAAAGGAUUGUAACUCAUUUUAACAUUCUUUCAUAUUGUUUAUCUUUUAGUUUUUUCUUCCAUUCACGAAGCCUAGUUUAAUCCUAGAUUAAUGUGGUCGAUUAGCAAACUGUAGUCAACUUGUGUUAUGUGUACAAAAGUUUUAUUUAUUUAUAUUUUUGGAUUAAGCUAUAUUUGUAUUUUACUUGUAAACAAAUACUCAAAUGAAAAAUGAUCUUGUCCCGUAAAAUUAAAAAGGGUGUGAAUAUUUCAGAUCAGUCUAUAUGUUUUUGAAAUACAUUUUUGAGGAUCAUAGGGAAGGAAGAUAUUGUAGUUCCCAUGCUUGAUUAUGAAAUGGAAGGAGAUGGAUGGAGCAAGAUGGUGUGAUCUUCUCUUAGUGAUUGGAACAAAAUUUUAGAGACCAUUGUUCAACGGUCUCCAUUCUGUAGUGAAUGAAGGAAAGCUUCUUAAACAGGUAUUUUCAGCAAACUGUAAAUUAAAUUAUACAACUCAAGUUUAAGUGCAGUGCUUGUCUUUUGGUGAUUGUGAAGUAUGAUAAAUUAGCAUAUGAAACAAUACUAGUAGAAAGAAAGCAUUCAAAUAUAAAAGUUUUUGUCAUUUCUCACAAUAUGUCAAGACUUGAGGCACGCCUUGUACAAAUGCAAAAGAACUAUUGGUCUUGUAAUUGCCAUAAAAUUGGCUACCACUCUAAUCGAAAGCAGACUAAUGGUUUUGAUAGAGGUAUCACACUAGCUUUUGUUUUAUUUAUUUUUGCAAUUUUAUUUUAUACAAUUUUGUAAUUUUGCAGAAAAAAACUCCUGAUUCUACAAUGAAAAGGAAAAGUGAUAACGUAAGUGAUACAAGCCCUGCCCCAGUUUCAGAAAAGACACAUUCCCACUCUAAUCAGAAAGGAACAGAGAAUGAGCAGGGAAGGAAAGGUAGUGUGUGACUGGAGCUUCAAGUUACAUAGCUUCAUGGCUAGUGAAGCUCUUAUUACAACAUGGUUACACUUUGAAAGAGUUCGUGACCCAAGUUAGUUCCUAUAAUAAUUAUCUUUGGCUUUUUAGCUCAUUUUAUAUUCUCUCCUUGUAAAUCUACACAAACAUGUAGUUUCAAUUUUUGGGUUUUCAACUUUUCAUUCUUAAAUUUCAUUUUGCAUGCAAUUUGUACAAUUUGAUAAAUUCUUGUACAUGCAGAUGAUUCAAAGAAAACACAACACUUGGUUGCACUAGAUGGCGAGUGAUGUUGCACUCUAAGUUCAUGUUGCCAAAUUUCCACAAGAACUUGUGUUUUUGAGAUCUUUUGUGAAGUUGUACUAUUUUUUUCAUACAUGUACACACUUUUAUUUUAGGGGAUACAUUCAUUAUCUUAUACUCAUGAUAUAUAAUUAAGUAUUCUAUCUUUACACAAUUUUUUUUUAAAUAUAAGUGGUUGAGGUUAAGGAUUA